UACGUAGGGUGCAAGCGUUAAUCGGAAUUACUGGGCGUAAAGCGUACGCAGGCGGCUUUGCAAGACAGGUGUGAAAUCCCCGGGCCUAACCUGGGAACUGCAUUUGUGACUGCAUGGCUAGAGUUUGUCAGAGGGGGGUGGAAUUCCACGUGUAGCAGUGAAAUGCGUAGAUAUGUGGAGGAACACCAGUGGCGAAGGCGACUACCUGGCCUGUUCUUGACGCUGAGGCGCGAAAGCUAGGGGAGCAAACGGG
rnacentral:rRNA from 1 species